UCAGGCACCUGAGAUUCGACGGGAAGAGGCGGGGAGGUGUGUGUGGUGGCAGGAAGGGAGGGGAGCGGCCAGAGAAACCCGGCGGCGACCGCAGGGAGAGAAAGGAGGACAGAGAGGGAGAAGAUUCCUGAGACAGCUGCUACAAACGGCGUGGAGACAGGGUUCAUUGUGCCUGUAGAUCUCCGAAGGGUUUUUCUCCUCUCGUGAUUUUCCAAUGUGAAGAUUACGCUCGCGUCAUUCUCAGAGUAGAUCAAAAGAUAUAUUAAGUAGUACAGAUAGCUCUUCAUACUCAGUGUCCCUUCUUUCCACCCGCUAUUAACAGUAAAGCAUUCUUCCUAAUGAGUGAAAAAUAAAUUUAGAGGAAGCUGGUUUUUCA